UACGAAGGGGGGCUAGCGUUGCUCGGAAUCACUGGGCGUAAAGGGUGCGUAGGCGGGUCUUUAAGUCAGGGGUGAAAUCCUGGAGCUCAACUCCAGAACUGCCUUUGAUACUGAGGAUCUUGAGUUCGGGAGAGGUGAGUGGAACUGCGAGUGUAGAAGUGAAAUUCGUAGAUAUCGCAAGAACACCAGUGGCGAAGGCAGCUCUCUGGGACGGUACUGACGCAUGAG
rnacentral:rRNA from 1 species